GAUGAAGAACGUAGCGAAAUGCGAUAAGUAAUGUGAAUUGCAGAAUUCAGUGAAUCAUCGAAUCUUUGAACGCACAUUGCGCCCCCUGGUAUUCCGGGGGGCAUGCCUGUCCGAGCGUCAUUACAACCCUCAAGCUCUGCUUGGUGUUGGGCCCCGCCGCCCCGGUGGGCCCUAAAGUCAGUGGCGGUGCCAUCCGGCUCCGAGCGUAGUAAUUCUUCUCGCUCUGGAGGUCCGGUUGUGUGCUUGCCAUCAACCCCCAAUUUUUUUCAGGUUGACCUCGGAUCAGGUAGGGAUACCCGCUGAACUUAAGCAUAUCAAUAAGCGGAGGA
rnacentral:misc_RNA from 1 species